CGGCCCCAUUGAAACUCAUCCAGUUAAGCUGGCAGAGUGAAGAGAGAACAAAAACCAAGCAGGCAAAGAGCAGAGCUGUCCAGAGGGGGCAGGGCUUGGGGCAGGGCCUGUGCCGGAGGGUGGUCCAGCAGAGUGGUGGCCUCGGGGCCCAGGCUGGAGGGGGCCUGGCACAGUUGAGGCCUGGUGUGGGCCCAGAAGGAAGGGGGCCCAGGCACAGGUAGAGCCUCGGGGCCUAGGCUGGAGGAGGACCAGGUGCAGUUAGGGCUGCACUGGGGGGGGCCGAGCUGGAGGGGGGCCUAGCAGAGUUGAGGCCUCCUCUUGGCCCAGACCAGAGGGAGCCCCGGCACUGCCCAGGCUUUGGGGCCUAGGGUGGAGGAGGAGCAGGCACAGUUGGGGCUGCUUUGGGGCCUGGGCUGGAGGGGGGCCUGGCACAGUUGAGGCCUGCUCUUUUCCCAGACCAAAGGGAGCCCCGGCACAGCCUGGGCCUUGGGUCCUAGGAUGGAGUAGGACCAGACACAGAUGGGGCUGCCCUUGGUCCCAGGAUGGAGGAGGACAUGGCACAGCUGGGGCUGCUUUGGGGUCCAGGAUGGAGAAGGACCAGGCUCAGUUGGGGCUGUGUUGGGGUUGAGGAUGGAGGAGGACCAGGUGCAGUUGGGGUUGCACUGGGGGGGCCCGAGCUGGAGGGAGGCCUAGCAGAGUUGAAGCCUCCUCUGGGCCCAGACCAAAGGGCGCCCCGGCACAUCCUGUACCUUGGGGCCCAGGAUGGAGGAGGACCAGGCACAGUUGGGGCUGCCUUGGGGCCCGAGCUGGAAAGGUGCCUGGCACAGUUGGGGCUGCUUUGGGGCCUGGGCUGGAGGGGGGCCUGGCACAGUUGAGGCCUGCUCUUGGCCCAGACCAAAGGGAGCCCCGGCACAGCCAGGCUCUUGGUGCCCAGGAUGAAGCAGGACCAGGCACAGUUGGGGCUGCUUUGGGGCCCAGGAUGGAGGAGGACCGGGCGCAGUUGGGGCUGCUUUGGGGCCUAGGAUGGAGGAGGAGCAGGCACAGUUGGGGCUGCUUUGGGGCCUGGGCUGGAGGGGGGCCUGGCACAGUUGAGGCCUGCUCUUGGCCCAGACCAAAGGGAGCCCCGGCACAGCCAGGCUCUUGGUGCCCAGGAUGAAGCAGGACCAGGCACAGUUGGGGCUGCUUUGGGGCCCAGGAUGGAGGAGGACCGGGCGCAGUUGGGGCUGCUUUGGGGCCCAGGAUGGAGGAGACCCAGGCACAGUUGGGGCUGCUUUGGGGCCCAGGCUGGUGGGAGGCCCGGCACAGCCAGAGCCUUGUGGCUGCACUCUCUCUGUACAGUUCAACCUUGAUCCAUAACCUAAAAUGGUAACUGUAGUGAAAGGCAGUAGCUGAUCCAGCUGCUUUCCUGUGUUUUAAUUUUCCUAUGAGUG
ensembl:lncRNA